rnacentral:rRNA from 1 species
CACCUUCGGGUGAGUGGCAGACGGGUGAGUAACGCGUGGGAACCUACCUAGUAGUACGGAAUAACUCAGGGAAACUUGUGCUAAUACCGUAUACGCCCUUCGGGGGAAAGAUUUAUCGCUAUUAGAUGGGCCCGCGUUGGAUUAGCUUGUUGGUGAGGUAAUGGCUCACCAAGGCUACGAUCCAUAGCUGGUCUGAGAGGAUGAUCAGCCACACAGGGACUGAGACACGGCCCAG